AUACGGAGGAUCCGAGCGUUAUCCGGAUUUAUUGGGUUUAAAGGGUGCGCAGGCGGCCAUUUAAGUCAGCGGUUAAAUCGUGGGGCUCAACCCCAUUCUGCCGUUGAUACUGGGUGGCUUGAUUGCGGUCGAGGUUGGCGGAAUUCGUUGUGUAGCGGUGAAAUGCAUAGAUAUGACGAAGAACACCGAUUGCGUAGGCAGCUCGCCCACACGCAAAUGACGCUCAUGCACGAAAGUGCGGGGAUCGAACAGGAUUAGAUACCCUGGUAGUCCGCACAGUAAACGAUGAAUACUUGUUUUCGGCGAUAUAAUGUCGGAGGCAAAGCGAAAGCGAUAAGUAUUCCACCUGGGGAGUACGCCGGCAACGGUGAAACUCAAAUGAAUUGACGGGG
rnacentral:rRNA from 1 species